AUGAACGCUGGCGGCGUGCCUAAUACAUGCAAGUCGAGCGCACGGACGAGAAGCUUGCUUCUCUGAUGUUAGCGGCGGACGGGUGAGUAACACGUGGAUAACCUACCUAUAAGCCUGGGAUAACUUCGGGAAACCGGAGCUAAUACCGGAUGAUAUUUUGAACCGCAUGGUUCAAAAGUGAAAGACGGUCUUGCUGUCACUUAUAGAUGGAUCCGCGCUGCAUUAGCUAGUUGGUAAGGUAACGGCUUACCAAGGCAACGAUGCAUAGCCGACCUGAGAGGGUGAUCGGCCACACUGGAACUGAGACACGGUCCAGACUCCUACGGGAGGCAGCAGUAGGGAAUCUUCCGCAAUGGGCGAAAGCCUGACGGAGCAACGCCGCGUGAGUGAUGAAGGUCUUCGGAUCGUAAAACUCUGUUAUUAGGGAAGAACAUAUGUGUAAGUAACUGUGCACAUCUUGACGGUACCUAAUCAGAAAGCCACGGCUAACUACGU
rnacentral:rRNA from 1 species